rnacentral:misc_RNA from 1 species
GUAGGUGAACCUGCGGAAGGAUCAUUAUUGAAUAUUCUUGAUGGGUUGUAGCUGGCUCUUCGGAGCAUGUGCACGCCUGUCUUGACUUUAUUCAUCCACCUGUGCACCUUUUGUAGUCUUGGGGGUUCAGAGCAGUCAACCGUCGGACGGGCUGUCCGGAUGUGAGGAAUGCCAAGUGCGGAAGCAUGCGGCUCUCUUCAAAAAUGACUUGCAAAGCUUCCCUCGAGUACUAUGUAUUCAUACACCACUUCGUAUGUUGUAGAAUGUGAUCAAUGGGCUUAUGUGCCUAUAAUAAUCAUAUACAACUUUCAGCAACGGAUCUCUUGGCUCUC